AUGACCUUUAAAUCAGUCCUGUGAGGCUGAGAAGGUAACGGUUUAUGAGAUUGGGAAGAUUAUGCCUAAUUUCAGAAUUGUUAACCUCUCGCUGAGCAGCGGGAGGUUUUUUUAU
rfam:Bacillus sp. MTM 116 46, whole genome shotgun sequence.